UACGAAGGGGGGCGAGCGUUGUUCGGAUUUACUGGGCGUAAAGGGCGCGCAGGCGGCUCAUUUUGUCAGGCGUGAAAGCCCCGGGCUUAACCGUGGACUGCGUUUGAUACGGAUGGGCUAGAGUUCGGGAGAGGAGAGUGGAAUUCCCAGUGUAGAGGUGAAAUUCGUAGAUAUUGGGAAGAACACCGGUGGCGAAGGCGGCUCUCUGGACCGAGACUGACGCUGAGGCGCGAAAGCGUGGGGAGCAAACAGG
rnacentral:rRNA from 1 species